GAUUGUACAAUCUCCUCAACAGGGAAAAAAAUGCAGUCAUCAAGAUUUUGAGGGGUGAUGGUGUCAGUCACAGGCAUGUCGUUACUGAAUGGUCUCAAACGCUUCAAUUUAUUGUUCUCGUUCUCGUCAAACGAUUGCAUUACAAGAGAACUAAACGCUAACAAUUAAAUUGCUAGAGAGCAUGAGCCAAACCCUGCUAAGCACCUCCAAGGAUGAGUUCACUAGGAGAAAUAAUCAGCAGGAUCCGAUCGCAGAGUAUUAAACUGCAUCGACUCCG
rnacentral:misc_RNA from 1 species